UACGUAGGGUGCAAGCGUUGUCCGGAAUUAUUGGGCGUAAAGCGCGUGUAGGCGGUUCGGUAAGUCCGCUGUGAAAGUCGGGGGCUCAACCCUCGGAUGCCGGUGGAUACUGUCGGGCUUGAGUACGGAAGAGGCGAGUGGAAUUCCUGGUGUAGCGGUGAAAUGCGCAGAUAUCAGGAGGAACACCAAUUGCGAAGGCAGCUCGCUGGGACGUUACUGACGCUGAGACGCGAAAGCGUGGGGAGCAAACAGG
rnacentral:rRNA from 1 species